UCUCUGGUGGCUCAGUGGGUUAAGGAUCCGGCACUGCCACUGCUGUGGCCUGGGUUUAACCCCUGGCCAGGGAA
rnacentral:tRNA from 1 species